rnacentral:rRNA from 1 species
AUUAGAUAGUUGGUGGGGUAAUGGCCUACCAAGUCUCGAUCUAUAGCUGGUUUGAGAGGAUGACCAGCAACACUGGGACUGAGACACGGCCCAGACUCCUACGGGAGGCAGCAGUGGGGAAUCUUAGACAAUGGGCGCAAGCCUGAUCUAGCCAUGCCGCGUGAGUGAUGAAGGCCUUAGGGUUGUAAAGCUCUUUCGCCUGUGAAGAUUNUGCCCGCAGCA